rnacentral:rRNA from 1 species
AGAGUUUGAUUCUGGCUCAGGAUGAACGCUAGCGGCAGGCUUAAUACAUGCAAGUCGAACGGUAACAGGUCGUAGCAAUACGAUGCUGACGAGUGGCGCACGGGUGCGUAACACGUAUGCAAUCUACCCUUUACCGGGGAAUAACCCUGAGAAAUCGGGGCUAAUACCCCAUAGUAUUAUUUAGAGGCAUCUUUAAAUAAUUAAAGAUUCAUUGGUAAGGGAUGAGCAUGCGCCCCAUUAGUUAGUUGGUAAGGUAACGGCUUACCAAGGCGAUGAUGGGUAGGGGUUCUGAGAGGAUUAUCCCCCACACUGGUACUGAGACACGGACCAGACUCCUACGGGAGGCAGCAGUAAGGAAUAUUGGUCAAUGGGCGAGAGCCUGAACCAGCCAUGCCGCGUGCAGGAAGACUGCCCUAUGGGUUGUAAACUGCUUUUAUGUAGGACUAACCAUCCCGACGUGUCGGGAUCUGCAGGUAUUACAUGAAUAAGCAUCGGCUAACUCCGUGCCAGCAGCCGCGGUAAUACGGAGGAUGCGAGCGUUAUCCGGAUUUAUUGGGUUUAAAGGGUGCGUAGGCUGAUAUUUAAGUCAGUGGUGAAAUAUUCCGGCUCAACCGGGAGGCUGCCAUUGAAACUGGAUAUCUUGAGUCUGGUCGAAGUGGGCGGAAUGAGGGGUGUAGCGGUGAAAUGCAUAGAUAUUCCUCAGAACACCGAUAGCGAAGGCAGCUCACUAGGUCAGCACUGACGCUGAUGCACGAAAGCGUGGGGAUCAAACAGGAUUAGAUACCCUGCUAGUC